UACGUAGGGGGCUAGCGUUAUCCGGAAUUACUGGGCGUAAAGGGUGCGUAGGUGGUUUCUUAAGUCAGAGGUGAAAGGCUACGGCUCAACCGUAGUAAGCCUUUGAAACUGGGAAACUUGAGUGCAGGAGAGGAGAGUGGAAUUCCUAGUGUAGCGGUGAAAUGCGUAGAUAUUAGGAGGAAUACCAGUGGCGAAGGCGACUUUCUGGACACAAACUGACGCUGAGGUACGAAAGCAUGGGGAGCAAACAGGAUUAGAUACCCCGGUAGUCCCUGAGCGGGCU
rnacentral:rRNA from 1 species